rnacentral:misc_RNA from 1 species
GUGAAUCAUCAAAUCUUUGAACGCAAAUUGCACUUUCUGGUAUUCCGGAGAGUAUGCCUGUUUGAGGGUCAGUUAAAUAAAAAUCGGUGUUGUUGCUGCCUUUCGUGUUGACGCGCCGGAUUUGAUUCGUCUUACCUUCGUUUAAGGGACUUAAAAUUUUUGCAUGAUUUUCGAACGUAUUUAAAUCCCUUACGUACGUUUGAAUUAUCUAUUGCUUA